GACGAACGCUGGCGGCGUGCUUAACACAUGCAAGUCGAACGAUGAAGCCUUUCGGGGUGGAUUAGUGGCGAACGGGUGAGUAACACGUGGGCAAUCUGCCCUGUACUUUGGGAUAAGCCUUGGAAACGAGGUCUAAUACCGGAUAUGACUGGCCUUCGCAUGGGGUUGGUUGAAAGUUCUGGCGGUACAGGAUGAGCCCGCGGCCUAUCAGCUUGUUGGU
rnacentral:rRNA from 1 species